CGGAGGAAAAGAAACUAACAAGGAUUCCCCUAGUAACGGCGAGUGAAGCGGGAAGAGCUCAAAUUUGUAAUCUGGCACCUUCGGUGUCCGAGUUGUAAUCUCGAGAAGUGUUUUCCGCGCCAGACCGCAUAUAAGUCUGUUGGAAUACAGCGUCAUAGUGGUGAGAACCCCGUAACUGAUGCGGAUGCCUGGUGCUCUGUGAUACACUUUCGAAGAGUCGAGUUGUUUGGGAAUGCAGCUCAAAUUGGGUGGUAAAUUCCAUCUAAAGCUAAAUAUUGGCGAGAGACCGAUAGCGAACAAGUACCGUGAGGGAAAGAUGAAAAGCACUUUGGAAAGAGAGUUAACAGUACGUGAAAUUGUUGGAAGGGAAACGCUUGAAGUCAGACUUGCUAUUUGGAGUUCAGCCGCAAGGUGUAUUCUUCAAUUUGCAGGCCAGCAUCAGUUUUUAGGGGUGGAAAAGGGUAUUGAGAAGGUAGCAGUUUCGGCUGUGUUAUAGCUCUUUACUGGAUUCACUCUUGGGGACUGAGGAACGCAGUACGCUUUUUGCAAGGCUCUCGGGCUUUUCGUACUUAGGAUGCUGGUGGAAUGGCUUUAAACGACCCGUC
rnacentral:rRNA from 1 species